rnacentral:rRNA from 1 species
AACGAACGCUGGCGGCAGGCUUAACACAUGAAAGUCGAGCGCCCCGCAAGGGGAGCGGCAGACGGGUGAGUAACGCGUGGGAAUCUACCCAUCACUACGGAACAACUCCGGGAAACUGGAGCUAAUACCGUAUACGUCCUUCGGGAGAAAGAUUUGUCGGUGAUGGAUGAGCCCGCGUUGGAUUAGCUAGUUGGUGGGGUAAUGGCCUACCAAGGCGACGAUCCAUAGCUGGUCUGAGAGGAUGAUCAGCCACACUGGGACUGAGACACGGCCCAGGCUCCUACGGGAGGCAGCAGUGGGGAAUAUUGGACAAUGGGCGAAAGCCUGAUCCAGCCAUGCCGCGUGAGUGAUGACGGCCCUAGGGUUGUAAAGCUCGUUCGCAGGUGAAGAUAAUGACGGUAACCUGAGAAGAAGCCCCGGCUAACUUCGUGCCAGCAGCCGCGGUAACAC